rnacentral:tRNA from 1 species
GGUCCCAUCGUCUAGCGGUCUAGGACGCCGGCCUCUCACGCCGGAAGCCCGGGUUCGAUUCCCGGUGGGAUCACCA